rnacentral:rRNA from 1 species
GACAGAGGUCCCGAGCGUUAGGCGGAAUCACUGGGCUUAAAGCGUGCGUAGGCGGUUUGUUAAGUCCGCUGUGAAAGCCCUGGGCUCAACCUGGGAAUUGCAGUGGAUACUGGCAAGCUAGAGUGCGGUAGAGGAUGGUGGAAUUCCCGGUGUAGCGGUGAAAUGCGUAGAGAUCGGGAGGAACACCAGAGGCGAAGGCGGCGACCUGGACAGAUACUGACACUCAACUACGAAAGCGUGGGGAGCAAACAGG